AAGCGGAGCUGGCAGCAUCUCCAGUGCCCCCAGCUCAUCCCAGCAGGCAGUGCUGGCAGCAUCUCCAGUGCCCCCAGCUCAUCCCAGCAGGCAGUGCUGGCAGCAUCUCCAGUGCCCCCAGCUCAUCCCAGCAGGCAGGGCUGGCAGCACCCCCGGUUCCCAACCGUGUAUCCCAGAGCGCACAUUGGGCAUCAUUCCUUUUCCUGGAACCUGCCCAGGCACUGCGGCUCUGACCGCAUCUCCCAUCUGUCCCUGCGGCUUCUUGCAAAGACCAGCCCUCCUCCUCCUCCUCCUCCUCCCAGCACGCCUGUGAACACCCCUUCAUGCUGCGGCUGACGGGUGUCAGUGCCGGGGCCUGCCCUGUGUCUGUCUGCUCGUUGCUCCUGCUUCAGUCUGCUGUUGCACGAAGCUGUCUUCAACCACAGAGUCAAGAUGAGGAAAAGUGGCAUCCUGAGAAAACAGUAUAUCUCUAGGGGCUUCUUCCAGAGGAGAGUAUGGUUCUUUUCUUCCCAUUCUGAAGUGAAGCUGGAAACUGUGACAGUAAAUGUAACCAUCCAAGACUUUGUGGCUGAUGUGGCGUCUCAGCUGUUUUUCCGCAAUGUUCAGGAAGUUUCUAAGGAGACGAUGUUCAUCUUUCCUGUGAACUCUGACACUGUUGUACACACCUUCUAUGCUACCACGGGGGACACUCGUAUUGAAGCGAUGCUCUGGGAGAAGGAGGAGGCCCAGCAGCUGUGCAAAGCCACUUUAGGCAUGGAGAAUUUAAGAUACCUGCAGGAUCAGUGCGAUCUUUGGGGCCCUGUGUUUGCUUGUUUCCUGGGGACCCUGCCUCCUAAAGCAGAGGUGGCCAUCAGCUUGUGCUAUGUCCAGGAGCUGCCACUGCAGCCUGGUGGAGCUGCCCAGUUCUGCUGGCCAAGUCAGCUGUUUCCUCGGAUCAACUACCUCAGCUUGCUCUGUGGGGAAGAGAUAUCCGAAAAUCUGCACUUCAGCAUCUGUCUGAAGUCAGCCCAUGGUGUGUCCCAUAUAGCCAUUAACACCAGCCACACUCCUCUGGAAUAUACGGCUCCAGAUCAGACAUCUGCUGAGUUCUCCUUGAAAUCGUCACCCUGGAUGGAGGGUAGUCUGAACUUACUGGUGUAUUACAAAGGGUCUCCCACUCUCAGUGCCGUGGUGGAGAGGCAAGAUCCCAAAGCCCCACCUGGGUCUCUGCUGGGAGACCCUGUGGUGAUGGUGACACUGAUGCCCAACAUUCCCGAGACGGUGCCCAGUCCAGGCCAGCUUGGGGAAUUCCUCUUUCUGAUGGAUCGCAGCCUCUUCCAGGAUGCACAGAACACACUGCUUUUCCUCCUCAAGAGUUUGCCUCUGGGCUGUUACUUCAACAUCUACACUUUUGGGGCCACUUUCAAAGCCUUCUAUCCGCAGAGUGUGGAAUACACGCAGGAAAGCAUGGACAAUGCAAUGGGGCGCAUCUCCUCCAUCUGCCCUGAUCUGGGGGGCUGUGACCUGCUGGGCCUCCUAAGGUCUAUCUACAGCACUCCUCUCCUUCAUGGGCAUCCCCGCCAGCUUUUCAUCUUCAUCCAAAGGAAGAUCUCCAAUGAAGAGGAAGCUGUCAUGGCUGAGGUCUACCGUUACCGGGACCACCACCGGUGUUUCUGUUUUCCUACUAACAACUUCAAACUUUCCCAGGCCAUGGCCCUGGAGACAAAAGGUGAAUGUGUGUGCAUCCACUCUAGGAUGGACAUGACAUCUGAGGCAGUGAAAUGUCUGCAGCGGGCUCUGCAGCCUACAGCUAGUGGGAUCUCACUACAUUGGGACCUUCCAUCUGGCCUGGAGGUGUCAACAAUCAGAAAAGCUCCUGAGGUGAUAUUCCAGGGACACCAGCGCUCCAUCUAUGCCCAGAUCCAUGGGCAAGCACAGGAUGCAGAGGUGGAUGAGGGAGCUGUGACGCUUCAGUAUCAUGUGGGCAGUGAGUCCUUCAGUUACACACUGAGGUUCUCACUGUCCCCAUCAUCAGACGACAGGUUGCCUGUGCACCGCAUGGCCAUGAUGCACCUGCUGUGGAAACUGGCCUGGGAGGGGACAAGCAGGACAAAGGAUAUCUUGCACAGCGCAGUUAAGUCCAGCCUCAGCCUGGGAGUUCCAUCCCCCUUCACAUCCAGUGUGGCAGUACGCAUGACACAGAGGGAUGCCCAGCACCGUGGUAAGGCUGGAAACGGUGGGGGUAGGACUAGGAGGAGAAAGUGGGACAGCGGCACUUGUUGGUCUGAUGCCUCCUCACCAUCUGCAGCCCCCUAUCCUGUGGGCCCGACCACCCUUUUGCCUGUCUCUAAGACCCAUGUGUCUAACCCCUGUCUACCUGUCUCUAUUCCCAGAUUCUUUGCCUCCAGACUCCUCCAUGUUGUUGUCUCCCUCUUCCAACCUGGUUCCCUGCCAGCUGCUCUGGUUGCAUGGCUUCAUGCCUGUGUGGUUCGAUUCCACCAAGUUUUGGAUGCUCCAGAAGUGCCAGUUCUGCCUUGAGAUGCUUGGUCACAAAGCCCCUGACACGGAGGCACUCACUCCGCUUUCAGCAUCCUGUAAAGACUUCCUGAUUGUCGUUGUGGUGCUGGGAUGGAUGGAAUGACAGAAAAAGCAAACUCCUGCAUCUCAGCUCUGGGCUGGAAACUCAGAAUCAAAUGCCUUAAUACUUCCCUGAAGUAACCUUAUCCUUGUCUUUAACAAUCCUUAACUCCAUACUCAAACACUAAGUUUGUCACAAAAUAUCUUCACGGAUCUUUAGCUUUAUCCUCAUAUAGUUCAGCAAAAACGAGCCAGCUGCAGAGGCCUUGCCAUUUGCACAGCAGUUUCCAGGGUUCCUCUCCUUCCAGCCUUCUGCAUCUACAGGUCUGAUGAUAAGGAGAAUUUGGGACAUUGUCAAAGGCCGUGCUAAAGUCAUCUCAUCUGAGAAGUGAUCUCAUCUGAGAGUGCCAGUGAUCUCAUCUGAGAAGGCAGUGAGCUUGCUCAGGCAAGAUUUACUUUUGAUAAGCCCAUACGGGAUGGUCCUUCUAGGAGGAUUUGCUCCAUAGUCUUCCUAGGGCCUCAGGGGAGGCUGAGCAGCCUGUAGGUCCCUGAACGUUUUUUUCCCUUCUUGAAGACGGGCGAGAUGUCUGACUGUUUUCCAGUCAUCAGGUUCCUCUCACAGUUGCCAUGAUAUUCUGAAGAUGAAAAAGUCACUACCUUGCGGUAGCAUCAGCCGACUCCUUUGGCACCAACCUACAUGCUUCCUAACUGCCGCCUUCUACUGUGGGUACUGCUUCACUCACACAGAAUCUGCUGGGAGACUCAGUAACAUGGUAGACCUGAGGGAAAACAUUACCAGUGAAAACUGAGCCCAAAAAGUUUGAGACGAUGACAGCCUUUUCCACAUCCUUUGUCACAGAGUCCCCUGCACCACUGAGCAAGAUGUCCACACUUGCCCUAGGCUUCCUUUUGCUGUCAGUGCGCUUAGAGAUGCCUUUCCUGUUGUCUUUACCUCCCUGACAAAUUUCAAUUCCAGCGGCACUUUUGUGUUUGUAACUCCAUUUCUAUAUGACUGGGCAAUGUCUCUGUAUUGCUUGCAAGUAGUCUGUCUCCACUUCCACCUUUGCAUACCUGCUUUUUGUGUUUGAUCGGACUGAGGAACGCUGUGUCCAUCUAUGCUGGUCUUCUGGCAAGCUUCCUUGAAUUUCUGCCACUGGACUGGACCAUCUUUGAUCUGGAGGAUUGGAUCCUGGAAGAUCAAGCUAUGCUGGACCCUUUGGCCUCCAGAAAUUUCCUACAGGAUCUUGAACAAGGCAAAAUCCAUUCUUCUGAAGUCCAGGAGUUGUACUUCUGAUGUUUGUCUUGCUCACUUCUCUCAGGAUCGUAAUCUCCAGUCUCAUGAUUGCUUCAGCUAACGCUGCCCUUGACCUUCACAUCUUCAACCAAGUUCCUCCCUGUUUGUGAAUAGCAGGUCUCUCCUGGCUGGUUCAUCAGGCACCAGCAUCACAAAAUAUGCUUCAGGACAUAACAGCAGCCUCCUGGAUUUCUUGCACCCGGACAGAUUGCCUCUGUAUACCCUGAUUUUGGAACAGCCUUUGACAUGCUGCCAGGCUCCUUAUCAUCAAACUGAUGAGAUAUUGGCUUGGUUAAGUGAACAAUAAGGCUGGUGGGAAAUUGGCUAGGCUGCUGGGCUCAAGCAGCAGUUCCCAGCAGUUCAGAGUCUAGCUGGCGGCCAAACACCAGUGCAACUCCAGAGGGAUCUCUCAUGGUCACAGUACUGUUUUUAACGUCUUCAUUAAUGACGUGAACAUUAAUGAACAGUACUCUCCCAGCACAUUUAUGAACAGUACCAAAUUGGGAACAGCUGGUACGUGGUCAGUACAGUGGAGGGCAGUGAGAAUGGCCUGACAGGACCCACGUGACAUUCAAUAAAUCAAAUGCAAAAUCUUGCAUCAGGAAUGGAUCAGGAAUGGAAUAACCCUGUGAAACAAUACAGGCCUGGGGCAUGCACACUCCAGGAAGCAGCUGUACAGCAAAGGAUCUUGGGAUCCUAGUGGACAAAUACUUGAACACAAGUCAAAGAAAGCCAAGUGCAUC